UCUGGCCACAGGUGUGAUGGCCGAUGCCAAAUGGUCUUCUAAAAAAAGAAAGUAGGAAGGAGUGAGAAAGCCACGCCCUCGGCCUCUCCAACACCUCUCAUCAGUCUCUUUCUGCUCUUUGUAGAUGCACCUGCUCAGUUCCUGGAGAGAUUCCCUUAACAUCAUCCAGUUACUAUAUGAAGAUGCUAUGUUGUUCUUAUGAAGUCUUGUCAGUGUCUUAUUCAACCUGGGAUUCUCUGAAGUCAACAGAAUCCCAUUCAAGAUACAGAUUCAACCCAAGUGUGUCUUGUGGAAAAGGAGGAAAUCAGAUGCACAGGUUUUGACUUGUUUUCACAGAGAACCAGUUCUCGGGGUGAACCCGUGACAACAUCAAUGUUAUAACAGCAAUCACUGACUGACCUGAAUUUGCCUAAGCUUUUGGUAAGGGUAUCAAAAUUCUCAUACUUAAUAGAUUUAGACCUUUUCUUAUAUGAAGGACUAUGUAACCUAUUAAAGUCUUUUAUUAUUAUUGUAUUAGAUAAUUAAUUCAAUCUAUCUUUCCUUCAGGCAAGCCAAGUUUGUCCUACAUAUUGUCAUUACCUUGGACUAUGAGUGAAUUCUCAGAACUUCCAUUAAUUUGUACAUGACACGGAAUUAUUGCAUGUAUUGUCACAGUAAUGAAGUCAAUAAACAGUAACCUGAAAA